CAGGACGAGAGAGAGAGAGAGAGAGAGAGAGAGAGAGAGAGAGAGAGAGAGAAAGAGUCAGUCACUGCAGACGCGCACUGCCGCCCAAUGGAGAAGAUCUUCUGAUUCCAGCAGCCAUAAUGCAGAAGGCCUUUAUUAUCCCCCGGAGCCGUGUGGAGUACGCUUAUGAUGGAUGGAUGUGGAUGGAAGCACUUUCUUCAGCUCAUACUCAUUGAUCCCGCUCACUGCCGUUAUAAAGCUCGGAUGCGUCAGAAUAUCGAUUGUGUUCAUCAGAAAGAAGAAAGUCAUAUGGCUUGAGGUUUGAAUGCAGGUCCUGGACUGACUGGAGUCGUGUCGAAUUGAAGGGGAAAAACUGAGUCAAGCGACAGUAAACAAUCCAAAUGGUGUCAGAUGUCGUUCUCUGCCGAGACCCAGAAAAACUCCUGCGAUGCUUUUCAAUUACACAGUGAAGUUGGAGGAUCUCUGCGAUUGUUUUCCAGACUAAAGGUCAUCUGUGAAGCACCGGCUCAUGCUGCGCGAGUGUGAUGCGAAUUCUGCUGCAGGAAACGGGAAGGACGCUUCAAAGAGACUCCUUCACUCACGUCUCUCUCCAUUACAUUUGAUAUGACAUAAUAAAAGAGCCCGUUUAAAAGCCUGUUCAACCCAAACCCUCAAAAAUAAUACAUGAAACAUGAAAUAUUAGCACCUGCAGAGACACACAGCUGCGUUUAACUCCACUUUUAGACACUCACAAACUUCCCUAAGCACAUCCUCGCUGCUGCUUUAAAGUGCAUCCAAAUUGGAUGAGGGAAGUUUAUAUGGACAGACCUCAACCCCUCGAUUUUGACCUACUUAUAUGUACACUUCAGGCAGAUCCAUAGACCACAAUGCAACACGACUGUGACGUCACAACAGCAACUCGCACUUCAUUUACCCACAGGUGAUCAAGGGCUUAGAGCGUUCCAUUUAAACACGUUGCAAGGGUUCCACCAGUAGUGGGCACUAGUGCAACACAAGCAAUGACGUACAUCUGAGUGAGCGAGACCAAGGGAAGUUAGCGAAAUAGUGGACUUAAACGCAGCCAGAGACGUCACACAAACAUGACGUCAAGAGUCACAGCACUAAUCUAUGAAUCUAUUAACACGGCCAAUCUAAAGUUUCAGCAAUGAACACAUGAGCAUAUUUAUAAUACAAACACAUUAUAGAAGCAAAAGCCACGAGAGAAAAGUGUCUCCACAGAGGCCUUUGUGUUGAAACGGCUCAUUAAUCAAAGUUUGUUGUGUAAUGAUGUGUGUUGUGUUCAGAGGCUUUAAUGUACAAUCUCUGCGACGGAGAGGAUUCAUGUCCGACUCUUAUUUGCUGUAAUAAAUGAGCCAGUGAGGCUUUAUAGGUAUUUAUCUUACAAUCAACGCUCAGUGUAAACGUCUCUCUGAUGAAUCUCACAUUUACAGCCUCAAUAAGUGAUUCACGUUCAUUUAAAGCGCAUCUGAAUCAGGCAGGAUUACGGAUAAACGAAUGACAUAAAGCACUUUGAUUCUCUCCCUUUGUCCAUGGGCAGGAAAAACUCUUUCAAGAUCUUCUGGCUUCUUUUCGUUCUGCCUUUGACAACUUAUUCUUAUGCAUAAUUAACCCAGAGUUCAGAGCAGAAUCAGCGCUGAUGUCAUC